rnacentral:rRNA from 3 species
UUUGACCUCGGAUCAGGUAGGGAUACCCGCUGAACUUAAGCAUAUCAUA